GACGAACGCUGGCGGCGUGCCUAAUACAUGCAAGUCGAGCGAAGUUUUUCUGGUGCUUGCACUAGAAAAAACUUAGCGGCGAACGGGUGAGUAACACGUAAAGAACCUGCCUCAUGGACGGGGACAACUAUUGGAAACGAUAGCUAAUACCGGAUAACAACAUAAAUCGCAUGAUAUAUGUUUAAAAGUUGGUUUCGGCUAACACUAUGAGAUGGCUUUGCGGUGCAUUAGCUAGUUGGUGGGGUAAAGGCCUACCAAGGCGACGAUGCAUAGCCGACCUGAGAGGGUGAUCGGCCACACUGGGACUGAGACACGGCCCAGACUCCUACGGGAGGCAGCAGUAAGGAAUCUUCCGCAAUGGGCGAAAGCCUGACGGAGCAAACGCCCGCGUGAGUGAAGAAAGGAUUUCGGUUUCGUAAAAGCUUCUGGUGUUAGGGAAG
rnacentral:rRNA from 1 species